UGGAUUACUGGGUAUAAAAAAGACCCACAAAGCCUAUAAUCAAAAUAUAAACAAGGCUGAACAGUCCAAUAGAAAAAAAAAAAUCCUAGCUAUUAGCUUUAGCUGGUCAUCCGACCCGUCUCUUCUAAAAUCCGGUAGAACCAACGCUCGUUGGAGACGACGAAGCACAAGGACAAAGGAACAGAAGAUUGACUUUGCCAUCUCAACAAAAACAACUCUAGAAAGAAGAACCACAUCCAAGACAUAAACUUGGAAGAAGAAGCCAUGAAAAAUACAGGCCGAAAAGCUCUGCUCAAACACAUGUAACACCGGAUAGAGACAGGGAGAGGAGGUGGAGCUCCAUGCUUCUCAUUCUCU
rnacentral:lncRNA from 1 species